rnacentral:lncRNA from 1 species
GGCUGAAUCUUGAUACUCUGCAUAGAAAUUUAAUAGGAUGAUUCUGUGACUUGAUUAAACUGUAAUCCGAGCUCAUUCUUCAAAAGUUUAAAAAAUUGCCUAGCUGUCAUUCUUUCAGAUGCAAGUGGCAAGCACCCUGAAAGGUGCUGGGGAUUUCAGAGAUGCUGAGUAACACACAGUUAUUGUCCCCAUAGAGCUGGCCCUCAGGUAGGGGAAAAGAGAGCAGUUUGGCAAGUGUGUCUGGAAGGAGCCUGUGAUACUAGACUGUGUGUGUCUGAAAGCUAAAAAUAUGUGAACUCCAUU